rnacentral:SRP_RNA from 2 species
AAUUGGGUGCCAGUUAACAGGUGAUUGCCCAACUCCGUCAGGUCCGGAAGGAAGCAGCGGUAAGCAUGAACUUGUGUAACUGGUUACCCUUUUUAU